GACGAACGCUGGCGGCGUGCUUAACACAUGCAAGUCGAACGGAAAGGCCCUGCUUUUGUGGGGUGCUCGAGUGGCGAACGGGUGAGUAACACGUGAGUAACCUGCCCUUGACUUUGGGAUAACUUCAGGAAACUGGGGCUAAUACCGGAUAGGAGCUCCUGCUGCAUGGUGGGGGUUGGAAAGUUUCGGCGGUUGGGGAUGGACUCGCGGCUUAUCAGCUUGUUGGUGGGGUAGUGGCUUACCAAGGCGUUGACGGGUAGCCGGCCUGAGAGGGUGACCGGCCACAUUGGGACUGAGAUACGGCCCAGACUCCUACGGGAGGCAGCAGUGGGGAAUAUUGCACAAUGGGCGGAAGCCUGAUGCAGCAACGCCGCGUGCGGGAUGACGGCCUUCGGGUUGUAAACCGCUUUCGCCUGGGACGAAGCGUGAGUGACGGUAAUGGGUAAAGAAGCACCGGCUAACUACGUG
rnacentral:rRNA from 1 species